rnacentral:rRNA from 1 species
AUUGAACGCUGGCGGCAGGCCUAACACAUGCAAGUCGAGCGAGCGGCGGACGGGUGAGUAAUGCCUGGGAAUUGCCCAGUCGAGGGGGAUAACAGUUGGAAACGACUGCUAAUACCGCAUCCGAUUGGCUUGCCCAUGGGGGAUUAGCUAGUUGGUGAGGUAAUGGCUCACCAAGGCGACGAUCCCUAGCUGGUCUGAGAGGAUGAUCAGCCACACUGGAACUGAGACACGGUCCAGAAGGCGAAGGGAGGCAGCAGUGGGGAAUAUUGCACAAUGGGGGAAACCCUGAUGCAGCCAUGCCGCGUGUGUGAAGAAGGCCUUCGGGUUGUAAAGCACGUUCAGCGAGGAGGCGUUACUCGCAGAAGAAGCACCGGCUAACUCCGUGCCAGCAGCCGUGGUAAUUC